rnacentral:rRNA from 1 species
CAUUACAAGUGACCCCGGUCUUACCACCGGGAUGUUCAUAACCCUUUGUUGUCCGACUCUGUUGCCUCCGGGGCGACCCUGCCUUCGGGCGGGGGCUCCGGGUGGACACUUCAAACUCUUGCGUAACUUUGCAGUCUGAGUAAACUUAAUUAAUAAAUUAAAACUUUUAACAACGGAUCUCUUGGUUCUGGCAUCGAUGAAGAACGCAGCGAAAUGCGAUAAGUAAUGUGAAUUGCAGAAUUCAGUGAAUCAUCGAAUCUUUGAACGCACAUUGCGCCCCCUGGUAUUCCGGGGGGCAUGCCUGUUCGAGCGUCAUUUCACCACUCAAGCCUCGCUUGGUAUUGGGCAACGCGGUCCGCCGCGUGCCUCAAAUCGACCGGCUGGGUCUUCUGUCCCCUAAGCGUUGUGGAAACUAUUCGCUAAAGGGUGUUCGGGAGGCUACGCCGUAAAACAACCCCAUUUCUAAGGUUGAC